rnacentral:rRNA from 1 species
GACGAACGCUGGCGGCGUGCCUAAUACAUGCAAGUAGAACGCACAGUUUAUACCGUAGCUUGCUACACCAUAAACUGUGAGUUGCGAACGGGUGAGUAACGCGUAGGUAACCUGCCUGGUAGCGGGGGAUAACUAUUGGAAACGAUAGCUAAUACCGCAUAAUAUUGAUUAUUGCAUGAUAAUUGAUUGAAAGAUGCUAUUGCAUCACUACCAGAUGGACCUUCGUUGUAUUAGCUAGUAGGUGAGGUAACGGCUCACCUAGGCGACGAUACAUAGCCGACCUGAGAGGGUGAUCGGCCAAACUGGGACUGAGACACGGCCCAGACUCCUACGGGAGGCAGCAGUAGGGAAUCUUCGGCAAUGGACGAAAGUCUGACCGAGCAACGCCGCGUGAGUGAAGAAGGGUUUCGGAUCGUAAAGCUCUGUUGUAAGAGAAGAACGGGUGUGAGAGUGGAAAGUUCACACUGUGACGGUAUCUUACCAGAAAGGGACGGCUAACUACGUG